ensembl:lncRNA
AUGAUGGAUGAGACCAGGAGAUGGCCCCCAUGUCAAACACUGAGCGCUGAAUUGCUUCAAGAUGCAAACCGCAUAGCUGAACUGUACCAAGAGCGCCAGACUCGAUUCUCCACGAUGCACCUACUGACCCAGCUUUGGAGUCCUUCUGCUCUAGGCAGACCCUGUCAAGUAACUGGAACUGUCAUGCAAAUUGAAGCAUAUGUGCCAUUCCUGGCAUUAACUGUAAAGUCAGGGCGGGACUUCCUUUCACUUAUUCAACAAUGGAGGCACCAGGAACUACCUGCAAAGGGCACUGCAGAGGGAAUUUGUGCUUAUGCGAGGAUGAGUCAGGUGACCGCUAAGACCCCUUGAAGAGUCCGUGGUUCAGAUGACGGUUCUCCCUGCUCCAAGCAUGCGGCCACCCAAGACACAGAGAGAAAAAUCCAGCCCAGCCUGGGUUAAUACGUGUGAACUAAAUCUUUCUGAAAACGUCUCCUAUGCAUUUCUUUCCCCCUUAUCUUUAUUGGCCUCCUGAAAUGCCUUAUCUGCAAAGGCAUGAUUCUGUCCUCAAUCUCUGUCUAUGAACACAAUUACCAUUUCUGCUUCUUCCACAAGGUAAAAAUGAAUCAUGAAAUGCAAGACAUGAACUUACCUUGUCCACUCAGCCAUAGGCAGACUGGCUUCAUCUCCAAAUGAUGCACUCCCCCACAAAAAAUCACAGCAGACGGUUUUAUUCUUCAGCCCAAAGCACUUAGCAUUGCGGGGAGACAUCUGCUGCAGACAAAUCUUGGGUCUUUGGAGCUUUAAUACUCUAAAAUUUAUUCCUCUCCACCACCUGGAGGCUCAGGGGUCCAUUUGUGGACUUUUCCACCUAUUGCUGCCUUGCAAGCUAAUGGGCAGUUGGUUCACAGGCAUGUAAGUUGCAGCUCAUCUGUUAAAACCCCUACAUCCGUAUUGCAGCAGGAAGGGGAGAGAAUUAACCAUCAGCUUCUUGUCUUACCUUUGUUAACUGCUUCAACAAACAAAUACUAAGCGCCAGAUUCGAUGCUGUUUUCUAGAGUAGGAUCUAGAGGUAUAAUAAGGAGUAAGAAAUAGUUUCUUUUACAACCUGGGGUUCAUGAAUGGGCUUUAGAAGGUCUAUGUAUCUUUCUGAAGUGAUGGGCAAAAUGUCUUGUGUGUGUGUGUGUGUGUGUGUAUAUAUAUAUAUAUAUAUAUAUAUAUAUGUCUCCUGAGCGGUCUCUAAUUUUCAUGGGUUUAUGAAUUCAAAAUCGUUAGAGAUCAAUGGGAAUCUAAAGGUUGCUCUCACGCCCCCCUUUCCUUCAUCCCCAGUCACAUCAGACCAAUCUCCAAGGUUCACCAGUUUUUCUCUUGAAUUGCUCGAGAUCUAACCCCUUCUCUCCAUGCCCCCCCAACUUACCCCAAGCUGCCCUAAGCCAGUGACUGACUGAAAACAGCCUCCUCCUCGUAGUCUCCCUGGGCAUCCACACCCUCCUCCAAUCUGCUCCGAAUGCAGGCCAGCCACGUGUUUUCAGAUCUGUAAUCCUAUCACUUCAGUCCCUUGCUCAAAACCUCCUCGUGGCUCCCACCGAGCUUCAGUGGCAGGCAAUACACUUUCACAUCAUCAUUGCCAACCACAACAACAUCAUGUUUGCUGUUCUCUUGGCUCCUUGGACUCCAGCCUUAUCAAAGGUUUUCCAUGUCUUCUCAUUCCCCAUCUGCGGUUCCGCCACCGGGUUGGUGUGCUUUCUGUGUUCUCUGCCCAAAAGGCUUCUCCUCUCUUCCUUCUCCAGGCUGUAUCACAGUUAUCACUUCUCCUGGCCAUCUCCUUGGCCUCCCUGACCAGAACAAACAUCCUGCUAUAAAAUCCCCUAGGUCCAUAAACUUCCUCAUAGCCUUUGCCCAAGCAAGAAUUAUGCAGGCCUUGCAUGACCCGUUGAUUCAUCUCUAUCCUUCAGCAAACCCGACUAUUGUUCAUUGUGUUCCCAGUGCUUCUCGGAACACUGGGCACAGGGCAGGCAAGGGCUUGAUGAAAGCUCAGUGAAUGAACGAAUGAAGGAUCAAGUAGCUGAAUGAAUAAGCAACCUGGUAAAUGCUAUAAUAAAAUAGUGCAUGAAGUAGUGAUAGGGCA